AAGAGUCUUUCACACCGUUUUGUAGAAGAUCCACUAAAAAAGGGGGAAACAAUAUGCAUUUGUACAAGAGGUUAGUCAGCGACGGUGAAAAGUAAAAAACCGACGACGACAUGGAAAAGGAAUAUUACAUUUUUAGUAUAUUUACACAUGCAUUGUUCGAUUUUUUUUUUUUUUUUGUUGUUGUUGUUGUUGGUAAAGUGGAGCUUGGGAUGCUCCCUGGACGAGCAUCUAAUUCGCCUUCUAGCUUUUUUAAUGGAUA
rnacentral:lncRNA from 1 species